AGCAGAAUUGCUGGUGGGUGUGGUAACUCCAUGUUUAGCUUUUCGAGAAAUUGCCAAACUCUUCCAAAGAAGCUGGACCAUUUUACACCAUCACCAGCAAU
rnacentral:pre_miRNA from 1 species